CAAGUCGAGCGGGGGGAGGUAGCUUGCUACCGGACCUAGCGGCGGACGGGUGAGUAAUGCUUAGGAAUCUGCCUAUUAGUGGGGGACAACAUCUCGAAAGGGAUGCUAAUACCGCAUACGUCCUACGGGAGAAAGCAGGGGAUCUUCGGACCUUGCGCUAAUAGAUGAGCCUAAGUCGGAUUAGCUAGUUGGUGGGGUAAAGGCCUACCAAGGCGACGAUCUGUAGCGGGUCUGAGAGGAUGAUCCGCCACACUGGGACUGAGACACGGCCCAGACUCCUACGGGAGGCAGCAGUGGGGAAUAUUGGACAAUGGGGGGAACCCUGAUCCAGCCAUGCCGCGUGUGUGAAGAAGGCCUUAUGGUUGUAAAGCACUUUAAGCGAGGAGGAGGCUACUCUAGUUAAUACCUAGGGAUAGUGGACGUUACUCGCAGAAUAAGCACUGGGUAACUCUGUGCCAGCAGCCGCGGUAAUACAGAGGGUGCGAGCGUUAAUCGGAUUUACUGGGCGUAAAGCGUGCGUAGGCGGCUUAUUAA
rnacentral:rRNA from 1 species